GUUGUCAUGCCAAUGGCACUGCCCGGUAGCUAAAUGCGGAAGAGAUAAGUGCUGAAAGCAUCUAAGCACGAAACUUGCCCCGAGAUGAGUUCUCCCUGAGACCUUGAGUCUCCUGAAGGAACGUUGAAGACGACGACGUUGAUAGGCCGGGUGUGUAAGCGCAGCGAUGCGUUGAGCUAACCGGUACUAAUGAACCGUGAGGCUUAACCUUACAACGCCGAAG
rnacentral:rRNA from 1 species